GUAGGGAAUUUUCGUCAAUGGGGGGAACCCUGAACGAGCAAUGCCGCGUGUGUGAAGAAGGUCUUCGGAUCGUAAAGCACUGUUGUAAGUGAAGAAUGCCAUAUAGAGGAAAUGCUAUGUGGGUGACGGUAGCUUACCAGAAAGCCACGGCUAACUACGUGCCAGCAGCCGCGGUAAUACGUAGGUGGCAAGCGUUAUCCGGAAUCAUUGGGCGUAAAGGGUGCGUAGGUGGCACGAUAAGUCUGAAGUAAAAGGCAACAGCUCAACUGUUGUAUGCUUUGGAAACUGUCGAGCUAGAGUGCAGAAGAGGGCGAUGGAAUUCCAUGUGUAGCGGUAAAAUGCGUAGAUAUAUGGAGGAACACCAGUGGCGAAGGCGGUCGCCUGGUCUGUAACUGACACUGAUGCACGAAAGCGUGGGGAGCAAAUAGG
rnacentral:rRNA from 1 species